rnacentral:rRNA from 1 species
UACAGAGGGUGCUAGCGUUGUCCGGAAUCACUGGGCGUAAAGGGCGCGUAGGCGGCUUUUCAAGCGUGCGGUGAAAGCUCGGGGGCUUAACUCCGAGUCUGCCGUGCGAACUGGGAGGCUUGAGUCUUGGUAGAGGUCGAUGGAAUUCCGGGUGUAGCGGUGAAAUGCGUAGAUAUCGAGAGGAACACCUGCGGCGAAGGCGGGUUGCUGGGCUGACACUGACGCUGAUGCGCGAAAGCCAGGGGAGCAAACGGG